GUGCCAGCCGCCGCGGUAAGACAGAGGGUGCAAACGUUGUUCGGAAUUACUGGGCGUAAAGCGUGUGUAGGCGGUCCUAUAAGUCGGGUGUGAAAGCCCCGGGCUCAACCCGGGAAGUGCACUCGAAACUGCAGGGCUGGAGUACUGGAGAGGUUGGUGGAAUUCUCGGUGUAGAGGUGAAAUUCGUAGAUAUCGAGAGGAACACCGGCGGCGAAGGCGGCCAACUGGACAGAUACUGACGCUGAGACACGAAAGCGUGGGGAGCAAACAGGAUUAGAAACCCCCGUAGUCC
rnacentral:rRNA from 1 species